rnacentral:rRNA from 1 species
AUGAGCACGUGGAACUACGUCGUCACGGCGCACAAGCCCACCAGCGUCAGCCACUCCUGCGUCGGCAACUUCACCGGCCCCCACCAGCUCAACCUCAUCGUCGCGAAAUGCACCCGCAUCGAGAUCCACCUGCUCACGCCGCAGGGCCUUCAGCCUAUGCUUGACGUGCCCAUAUAUGGGAGGAUCGCGACGAUCGAGCUCUUCCGGCCUCACAAUGAGGCCCAGGACUUCCUCUUCAUCGCCACGGAGAGGUACAAGUUCUGCGUCCUGCAGUGGGACGCAGAAAAAUCAGAGCUUCUCACCAGAUCCAUGGGAGAUGUUUCUGAUCGCAUUGGCCGCCCUACGGACAAUGGACAGAUUGGGAUCAUCGACCCUGACUGUAGACUUAUUGGCCUUCAUCUCUAUGAUGGAUUGUUUAAGGUUAUACCAUUCGACAACAAAGGACAGCUGAAGGAAGCUUUCAAUAUCAGACUAGAAGAACUUCAAGUAUUGGACAUCAAGUUCCUGUAUGGCUGUCUCAGACCUACGAUAGUUGUGCUCUACCAGGAUAACAAAGAUGCCAGGCAUGUUAAGACAUAUGAAGUUGCACUGAAGGAGAAAGACUUUGUUGAGGGUCCUUGGUCACAGAACAAUUUAGACAACGGAGCUGGUCUUUUAAUACCUGUACCAGCUCCACUCGGCGGUGUCAUAAUUAUUGGCGAGGAGACAAUAGUUUACUGCAAUGCUAAUUCUACAUUUAAAGCUAUACCAAUCAAACAGUCCAUCACAAGAGCUUAUGGAAGGGUUGACCCAGAUGGCUCUCGCUAUUUACUUGGUGAUAAUUCAGGCAUUUUGCAUUUACUUGUCCUUACCCAGGAACGAGAAAGGGUAACUGGUUUGAAAAUUGAGCAUUUGGGAGAGACUUCAGUUGCAUCGUCAAUAUCGUAUCUUGAUAAUGGUGUUGUCUAUGUUGGUUCUCGAUUUGGUGAUUCACAGCUGGUAAAGCUGAAUCUCCAACCUGAUGCAACUGGUUCAUUCGUCGAAAUCCUUGAACGGUAUGUGAAUCUUGGACCCAUUGUGGACUUCUGCGUGGUUGACCUUGAUAGGCAAGGGCAAGGUCAGGUGGUCACUUGUUCAGGAGCAUUCAAAGAUGGUUCCAUUCGAGUGGUUCGUAAUGGUAUAGGGAUUAAUGAGCAGGCUUCAGUAGAGCUGCAAGGCAUCAAGGGAUUAUGGUCACUGAAGUCUUCCUUCAGUGAUCUGUAUGACAUGUAUCUGGUGGUGAGCUUUAUAAGUGAGACUCGGUUCUUGGCUAUGAACAUGGAAGAUGAAUUAGAAGAAAUUGAGAUAGAAGGGUUUGAUGCACAAAUCCAGACUUUGUUCUGCCAAAAUGCCAUCAAUGAUAUGCUUAUACAGGUUACUGCUAAUUCUGUCCGGUUAGUCAGUUGCACUUCUCGGGAGCUAGUGGAUCAAUGGAAUGCACCAGAAGGAUUUUCAGUCAAUGUUGCAUCAGCUAAUGCCAGUCAGGUCCUGUUGGCGACCGGUGGUGGCCAUCUUGUUUACCUAGAGAUUAGGGAUGCUAAGCUGGUUGAAGUGAAACAUGCACAGCUAGAACAUGAGAUUUCUUGUGUUGAUUUGAACCCAGUAGGGGAGAAUCCACAGUAUAGCUCUCUGGCUGCUAUUGGGAUGUGGACUGAUAUAAGUGUCAGCAUAUUUUCACUUCCUGACCUUGAAUUAAUCAGGAAGGAAAAUUUAGGUGGAGAAAUUGUUCCUCGGUCAGUUCUGAUGUGUACCUUGGAAGGGAUUUCAUAUUUGCUUUGUGCUCUUGGAGAUGGUCACCUUUUCAGUUUUCUACUGAAUGCAAGCACAGGUGAACUAACCGAUAGAAAGAAGGUUUCUCUUGGUACCCAGCCAAUUAGCCUUCGUACAUUCUCAUCAAAGGGCACAACCCAUGUGUUUGCUUCGUCUGAUAGACCAACUGUUAUCUACAGUAGCAAUAAAAAGCUGCUGUACAGCAAUGUCAAUCUGAAAGAAGUUAAUCAUAUGUGUCCUUUCAAUACGGCUGCUUUUCCUGACAGCCUUGCAAUUGCUAAAGAAGGUGAACUUUCAAUUGGAACUAUUGAUGAUAUCCAGAAGCUUCAUAUCCGCACGAUUCCGUUGAAUGAACAAGCACGGCGCAUUUGCCAUCAGGAACAGUCCAGGACACUGGCGUUCUGCAGUUUUAAGUAUACCCAGAAUAGCAUGGAGGAGAGCGAGGCGCAUUUCAUUCGUCUGAUGGAUCAUCAAACAUUUGAGUUUCUGUCCACACAUCCUCUUGAUCAAUACGAAUGUGGUUGCUCCAUGAUUAGCUGCUCAUUCUCUGAUGAUAAUAACUUCUAUUACUGUGUGGGAACAGCAUAUGUUCUACCUGAGGAGAAUGAACCGACAAAGGGCCGGAUCCUUGUAUUUGCAGUUGAAGAUGGAAGGUUGCAAUUAAUUGUAGAGAAAGAAACAAAAGGAGCUGUCUAUUCCCUAAAUGCAUUCAAUGGGAAAUUGUUGGCAGCUAUCAACCAGAAGAUUCAGUUAUACAAGUGGAUGACGCGGGAGGAUGGUUCCCAUGAGUUGCAGUCUGAAUGUGGCCAUCAUGGGCACAUUCUCGCCCUGUAUACCCAAACCCGUGGUGAUUUCAUCGUAGUCGGAGACCUGAUGAAAUCGAUAUCCUUGCUUGUGUACAAGCAUGAGGAGAGUGCGAUUGAAGAGCUCGCUAGGGACUACAAUGCGAACUGGAUGACUGCAGUUGAGAUGAUUGACGAUGACAUCUAUGUUGGUGCAGAGAACAGCUACAACCUUUUCACUGUGCGCAAGAACAGCGACGCGGCCACAGACGAGGAGAGGGGCAGGCUGGAGGUAGUCGGGGAGUACCACCUCGGAGAGUUUGUGAACAGGUUCCGGCAUGGCUCGCUGGUGAUGCGCCUCCCCGACUCUGAGAUGGGCCAGAUCCCCACGGUCAUCUUUGGCACCAUCAACGGGGUCAUUGGCAUCAUCGCCUCCCUGCCCCACGACCACUAUGUGUUCCUGGAGAAGCUCCAGACAACCCUGGUCAAGUUCAUCAAGGGUGUGGGCAGCCUGAGCCACGAGCAGUGGCGGUCGUUCCACAACGACAAGAAGACGUCGGAGGCUCGCAACUUCUUGGACGGCGACCUGAUCGAGUCGUUCCUCGACCUCAACAGGUCCAAGAUGGAGGAGGUGGCCAAGGCCAUGGCAGUCCCUGUUGAGGAGCUGUCCAAGCGGGUAGAGGAGCUGAUGAGACUGCACUAG